rnacentral:lncRNA from 1 species
AUUUUUGGCAGAUUUGGCAACCAGUUGCCAAAGCAAGGCACUAAAAGACUCUAGCUUGGUCCUCUGGCAGCCAAUGGAGCUGGCAAGCGAUUGUAAUUUAUUAAGGCUGUCGGCUUUAACAUAGUAAAUGCGACUUAUGAGGUGAUCAUCAUCAGAAUCGGAGUCUUUGGGAGGUUGCAGUUUGGAGAUGGGGACGUACAUAUCGUCUAGGGAGGGGUGGAUACAAGCAGGACGUCUAGGAUUUAGAAGAGAUCGCCUGAAUGAUGGCACCACUGAAUCAGAUAUUGCUUUAGAUUGAGCCAUCUCUGCCCAGGACACCACAAACAUGUUGGCUGAGUAGGCAUCUGCUAUCCUAUGGUCAAAUGUGCACCCCAAUACUAUUCCGCCGCAUUUUAAUUUUGUUGCCUGCAUAAUUUUUUUUUUUUUUAAGGAAAUAUACAUGUGGUGCUAAUAUAUUAGAAAUCUCGAAUAUGACUUGGGGAAAUUAAUUGGUAUAUUAGUAUUAUUUUGCUUACUGCAUAUGAAAUAUAAUUGUUAGAAUAUUAUAAUAAAUUAUUUUAAUACAAUUAGCUAGAUAAUUGAUACACAAAAAUAUCAAUUAAAUAAAAUUUAAUAAUUACAAAAAGAUUAAUUUUAGUUUUUUUUUUUUAUCACUAGACUAAUUGCAUUAAAGAUUAAUACCUUAACAAUUAGUAUAUACGGGCGAGUGAACGUGGAAGUAAGCUCCAUCAUUCGAUUUUAUCUUUAGUUUAAUUUAAAUAACUUAAAUAUUAUGUAAUUAUAAACUUAUAAGAAAAUUAUAAAUUAAAAUCCAAUUUUUGAAAUUGUUAUGCUUGGUGAGAAAAUUUAAGAAAUAGAGGUUUCGUGGGACUAAAAUGAAGGAUGAGAUUGGAAAAUAUGAGAAAAUACUCGUUCGAGAUGGGUUUUCUGAUAGUGAAAACGGGUCAAAAUGUUGUCGGCCACUAAAUAUUUGUUUUUAUUCGGACCCAACCAAAGGCAAAAAUUAUAAAACAUCAAUUCAUAUAUCACACGUGUCAGUUGGGCGGACUGCAAUCGAAUGCAUAUCAUACAUAUGAGAACAAAUACAGGAAGGACAUUAACAUGACUGAAAAAAUUUGGCAUAUUUCUGAUCUUAUGUAUAAUUUAUUUGAAAGAUUUUAAAAGAAAGAUUGGAAAGUUAAAUUUUAUAAUAGAUGUUCUGUUGCUGGUUUACGUGUGAAAUGUGAAAUUUGUUACUGUACACUCCAUUUUUGGCUUCUCCCUUGGGAAUAUAUAAGAAGAAAACUAACGCGUGAGAGAGUCACUAACCUGGACAGCAAGCACACCGUCCUCCUUCUUGGGCACGAGUUUGGCUUCAAUGCUCUGGUCGGGGUUAUACAAGUUGAGGUGUUGAAGCUCAAUAUCUGCAAAAGCCUCAUAAAAGUCCACACCACGGUUGCUGCAUAGGAUCUCAGGCUCUCCCGCUGAGUUCGCCACAACUUCACCAGCGAAAGCGUAGUAGGAAACCAGAACUUGAGCCAAAGCUUUCUUAAGAGAACCAACCAUGGACCCAAAAUUCAUGCUUAUUAAUGGGUUUCUAUAACAAAAGAAAACACCCACAUCAACUGGAGGGAGAAGCAAGUCUAGGUUGGAGAGUGGCAGCCAAUGUUCUUGCAAUGGCAGCACUGCUGCCACCACUUCCUUCUUGGCCACCGAUACAGUGAACGUCCUCUCCCCUCCUUCAGAACCCAUAUAUAUUAUGGUGUUAUGUUUCUCUAGCUAUAUAUUGUUCAAUCACCAGCUGGUGGUUUGGGUCCUCUGGGAUGGCGGAUGCGUGUGAUUUUAUAGGCAAACAGGCUAGUCAACUCCUUCCCCCAUAACCUUUUUUUUUUUUUUUUCAUUUAAAGCAUUUCUUUAUUUAUUUAUUUUUUAAUGUUACUUGCGAUGCAACCUGAAGCUUAAUACUAGUCAAACCCGCAGGCGAUGUCAAAAAACAUGAAUAGCCAAGCCAAGCCAAGCCAAGCCAAGCCAAGGGAUAAAUCUAUUCCAUAUUUUAUUAUAAUACAUAUAUAUGGUGUCUUGAGCGGGGUUGGUGGUUCGCCUCUUGUUCCCUUCUCUCCCAAAUUCAUUCAUUUGACUUUGUUUUUAAAUAAAAAAUGCCUGACAAAUUAACAUUUUUUUUUAAUAGCAAGAGUUACCUUGCGCUUUCCUCAAAAACAAAAAAAAAAAAAAAAAAACACACAUUACACGAGUAUAUAUAAUAUACAUCUAAUACAUUUAAUAAUGAUAUUUGGACAAAGUUUUGUGUAUUUUUUUCUCAAUGGAAAAAACAAGAAUAGAAGUGAGUUUUAUAAAAUUACAAUCAAUUAUUAGUUGAAUGCACAAAGAAUAAAUAUACACCCGCUGUAGACAAUUCCCCUGUUAAAUUAAGCUAAGACUCGAAAUUCUGGUAUUAGCAUUCUCUUGUUAAAUUAAGCUAGUUAAAGAUCCAAAAUGCAGCUAAAAUUGCUAUGACUGUUCUACAAUCAGUUAUUUGUACAAGUUUUAAGUAUCAUUUGAUGUAAACCAUACGAAGAUGAAUGGACAAGAAAAAAAGAUUUAAAAUGAAAUAAAUAUGGAUAAAACGGCAAUUUUUGGAACUUAUUAUUCUUUCAAAUCAAUACAUAGGUAGUGUAGGCAUCAGUUCUACAGUGAGUUGAUACGAGCAUAUAAUUGAAUGCAUCUCUUCUAAAAAAAAAAAAAAAACUAAGUCCAACCUAAUCCAGAUGGUACAACAAGCAAAACAAACUCCGUGAGUGAGUGAUUAACUUCUGUUUUGUGGUUAGUGGAAUGGAAUCCUCUGUUGAAAUGUGGAGAAUCCCACACCACAUCUGCCGAGAAAGAAAAAGUGAGAAGGCAUGGUAAAGUUCAAUCCAUUUGGGUGUUGAAGUCCAGGUGCAAUAUCAGCCCGAUUUCCUGGCCCAAAGCAGGUCAGUUCUGUUUGGUGCUCUACAUAAUCAACAACGUAUUCAAGAAACUUCUGGCAAAGAACAUUAUUUUCCAUCUAAUAAUGUCAAAUUAGUUGCACCAUAGCCAACUAGUAUAUAUUUAUUACUCUGUCAAUAUUUAACAUAUCAACUACUCCACGACACAUAAGCCAAACCCCUUGCCCUAAUCCAUGGUUUUAGCCUGUGUUCUAGCAGAUAUGGCAAUAUGAUAUGGAUGUAGUCAUAGUCGAAAAUUAUUUUCCCACUCUGAAAGAUGAAGAUUAUGAUACCUGAAAUGAAUGUUUCUUUGCUAUAAAGAAAUUAAUAAUUUCAAAUGGGUAGUGUGAUGAACCUUUUCCAGAAAUAUUAUCGCUGGAGUAGUUGGCAGUUAAUAUGUGGUGUUUUGGGUCAGCAUGCAGUGAAGUCAAUUGCACUUUUGGAUGACAAAGCAUCUGUGAAGAUGGUCUCCAAACCUGCUCAACCUGUAGAGUUCAAGAAGAUUCCAAAAGGAUUACCAACUAAGGGCCUCUGGGAUUACCCUAAUCAACUUUCAGAGGAGAUGGUAAGAUGUAUGAAGAAUAUAUUCAUGACUCUGGCAGAUUCUGCUAUACCAUCAAAGUCAUCUGCACUGGAAAGCCAAUCCUCACCUGUAUCUCCUCGAGGACAUUUUUCCAAUUCAUCAUGGUGGUCAUUGUCUGAGCACUCGAAGAUUUCAUCAUGGGUGCAGAGCCCCCAAGUUGAUAUACAGUCCAACUCUGAAGUGUUGGCUUCAGAGAAUGUCUUUGAUCCCUACAGAGUGCAUGGGAAGUUGAGCUGGGCAGACAUAGGAAACUAUGGGUUAGCUACUGAAGUUUCUUGGAUCUCAGUUGGGAAGAAGCAAUUAGAAUAUGCCUCAGGGGCAUUAAGGAGUUUCAGGUAUAAUAUUUUGUUUACCCUGAUAGUUUAGAUCUGUGUCAUUUAUUUCUUAAGCAAUUUAAAGUUUUUGAGGAUCUAAAAAGCUAAGAAUUAUUACUACAGAAUAAAUAAUGAAAAACAUUUUGUAAGUAGCUCUGAUCUAGGAAUUUAUCUGCAAUCUUUCUGUCAGGCAGCUUUUCUUUCAGUUCAUGUUCAUGUACUCUUUUUGGUUGCAAGUUGACUUACCUUUCGCUGGCUUCCAGGACAUGAGGAUACAAUUUGGUCACAACAUUCUUUUUUCACAUCUUGUGCAUUAUUAUUAUUCCAGUUCAUGAUAUCCAGUCUUUUCUUUCUAUGAAUGUCACUUUAUCUAGCAAGUGAAGAAAAAGUUUGAUGAGUAAUUAUAUAACUGUUUAAUAAUUAGAAGAUAUUGUGGAAGGUCCAAAAAAUUCCAUGUUUAAUUCGUUUCCUGCAUAUUGUUUUACUUUACUGAUUUUUUCACCUGAAAUUUCUUGCUGAAUGCUUUGUUUAAUUUAAACUAUGAGGUUGGGCAGGACAUACAUUUUCUAACUUUUGUGUGUCUAUCUUUUUUUGUUUCCCCUGUUGUGGGUUGGGGGGGAGAGAUCGAACAGUUAUAAUAAAUUGAGUACUUUGAUAAACAUAUGCUCUUGUUACUUUUUAUUAACUUAUGAUCAGGUUAAUCGAUUGAUUGAGGUGUUGUCUGGCAUUAGAUAUGACAAAUCUUUUGGUUAUACUUUUUGGACUUUGGAGAACAGGAUUCUUGUCGAGCAGCUGGCCAAAGUGAAUCCUAUCCACUUGACAUGCGAUGAGAAGCUUGCUUUCUGGAUGAACUUGUACAAUGCUCUUAUUAUGCAUGUAGAUCUCUUUGCUUAAGUUAAAACCUAGUUUUCUUCUACAGCUGAUGAAAUUAGGAUUCCAUUUGUCAACAUACUAAAAAUAUUUCAUGAUUCUUUAUUCUCUAAUUGGUUGGCAGGCAUACUUGGCAUAUGGAGUUCCAAGAAGCGACUUGAAGCUCUUUUCCUUGAUGCAAAAGGUUUGAUUUGUAACUGAACAUUUCCAAUCAUUUUGUUUCCACUCUGUUUUAUUAUUUAUGAUCAUAAGUCAUCAUGGUAUCUGAGUCAGCUUCUAUGUAAGCCUGCAAUAUUCAGUUCAUUAUAUCAAGACUAGAAUAGAUAUUAAGUUAAAUAAUUUUCCUCACUUAAAAUAGAGAGGAUGUUUACAUCUUUAUGAACUUUGCAUUCCUGAGUUUCUUUUGUCAAUAAAUAGAUUUCCAAAAUCUUGACUUGACCCUUAAAUAAUUCACCGUACAUGUGUUUUAUGGAUAUCACUGCUUAUGGACAAUUUUCGAUGUUUAGUUUUUGUAUAUCUGAUUGCUUGCUGGUUUUCAUGCUUGUGAGAAUUAUAUAUUUUGAUUCUUCCAGGCUGCGUACACUGUGGGAGGUCAUUCUUUUAGUGCAGCUGCCAUUGAGUAUGUUGUUCUGAAGAUGAAACCACCACUCCAUAGGCCGCAAAUUGUAUGCAACUGUUUUAAUUAUGUCAAUGGAUUAGUAACUGUUUUGUUCUUGCCUAAUGUGUCAUUCCCUGAUUUGGUGAGCCAAGGGAAUGGGUACAUAUGUGAUGUACAAAAUAUAAGAAUAAAGUUUUUAGUUAGUUAUCUUUUUAUGCCUAUCUAGUUCAAAAAAAAAUUCUGAUUAUUGUUAUAUCUUGAUUGAACCAUGUGACGUUGUUAAUUAACUUAAAUAAAAAGCAUAUUCCAUAAGUAAAUUUAAUCUAACGGAAAGUAAAAUCAAACAGAUAAAAUAGAUAAAGCAUAUAAAUUAAGGAUAAAAACAAAAUGAAAAUCCAAACCAAAUUAAAGACAAACGUUCAUUAGUUCACCAUUUGAAUUUGGAACGUUCAAGUAAAAUAGCCAUGGAAAAGAAGAAAUGAGGUUAAUUCUUAAGAUAAACGCAAGUCAAGGGCUGAAACAAAUUGGAACUCUCAGCCUCUAUCAAAUGUAUUUGGGUUUUCAGUAAGUGCAUGUACACUAUCCAAUCACCAUUGCAGAGGGGACUCGGCAUAGGCAUGACAUAUCCAGCGUUGCCGCCCCAAGGAAAAUGAUAGGACCCGAAAAAAGGCGCUCCCCAUCCGAAGUCCACCUUUGAAACUGGAAAUCUCUGCCCGGAUGACACCACAAAAGCCGGCCCAUCAUCACUACCACUGCCAUAUAUCUUAGCCAAGGCUGGCUCUGGUCUAUGAGCCUCGACCCAAUCAAUCAAUCCUAAGAAAUGCUCCUUCGUUGCUGCACUUUCUAGGAAAUCAUGCACCUCAUUUGCUACCCAACUUAAUGGAUUUGCGAUCAGCUCAUCAAUUUUCUUUUUUCCAUAAGGAAUGGAUAGCACAUUUCCAAAGUACGAAUCCAUAGUAUCACCUAAUCUUGUCCUCCCAUCCACAACAAUGCCCAUUUUUGAAACCUUGGCCAUUCCAUUUUGGGCAGACUUGGCAACCAGUUGCCAAAGCAAGGCACUAAAAGACUCGAGCUUGGUCCUCUGGCAGCCAAUGGAGCUGGCAAGCGAUUGUAAUUUAUUAAGGCUGUCGGCUUUAACAUAGUAAAUGCGACUUAUGAGGUGAUCAUCAUCAGAAUCGGAGUCUUUGGGAGGUUGCAGUUUGGAGAUGGGGACGUACAUAUCGUCUAGGGAGGGGUGGAUACAAGCAGGACGUCUAGGAUUUAGAAGAGAUCGCCUGAAUGAUGGCACCACUGAA